CGUCACGCUCCCGCCCACACAUCCGCUGGACAUGACCGCAAACACGCCUAAACUUUUUACGUAGCCCGGCUGCUCCAUUGUUUGCUGAUGGGUUUACCGCGAUUGACGACUCGUUAAAUUAAGCUACAUUCACCCUGAGGAGAAACUAGUGAGGGAGACCAUGAGGACUAAGCUGGGUUUCUGGGUCCAGAGGUUUGGAGAAACUUCUUCCCUUUCUUUCAUCACAGCUGUCCUGUGCCAGAAGUUCUGUUGACCCACUGAGAGAGGCAUCAUUUAAGAAACACCAGGAAGACCGAAGCUCAUGGCAUUGAUCAAGCAGGACUCAUCUUCACCAGCAGCUCCCUCACAGGGAACUCCUUCAGCACUCCUCUACAGGCCCGCCCCACAUGAUGGAUACACCCAGCAUUUCAUGAACACUGUGAUGGAGACCUUUGGUUUGUGUAAUGUUAUAAAUACUCAGAUACUCCCCAGAGGCUCCGGGCUUUUACAUAAAGAUAUUAUAUUUAGUCCUGUAGAAAGUUAUAUAUUUAAAAAUAUAUGAUCCUCUCUGGUUACUCUGGUAUGAAUAACUCUGAAUCACUUUAUGGUAAAUAACACACUAUCUGCAAAAAACUGUGAAAGAAUUCCAGAUCACAAGUUUUUAGUUUGACAUACAAGUGACGACCUUUGACCUUCAUCAGGUUUUAUUUAAUUGUGUCAGAGAAACUCAAACGUGCUCUUCAUGCAGCUGAGUACAUCAAGGGUUUAAAAUGGAAGCUGUGCAGGUCUGAGAUCUGCAGCUCUCUCUUUGUCUUUAACUUUAUCAAUAAAACAGCUUCAGCUUUCA